rnacentral:rRNA from 1 species
ACGGGUGAGUAACACGUGGGUAAUCUGCCUUUGGGUGGGGAAUAACGAUCCGAAAGGGUCGCUAAUACCGCAUAACGCAGCGGCACCGCAUGGUGACAGUUGUUAAAGCGGGGGAUCGAAAGACCUCGCGCCUGAAGAGGAGCCCGCGCCCGAUUAGCUUGUUGGUGAGGUAAUGGCUCACCAAGGCUUCGAUCGGUAGCCGGCCUGAGAGGGCGGUCGGCCACACUGGCACUGAGACACGGGCCAGACUCCUACGGGAGGCAGCAGUGGGGAAUUUUGGGCAAUGGGCGAAAGCCUGACCCAGCAACGCCGCGUGAAGGACGAAAUCCCUCUGGGAUGUAAACUCCGAAAGUCAGGAAAGAAAUCGAGUGGGGUAAUAUCCCGCUUGGAUGACGGUACCUGACGUAAGCCCCGGCUAACUACGUGCCAGCAGCCGCGGUAAUACGUAGGGGGCAAGCGUUGUUCGGAAUUACUGGGCGUAAAGGGCGCGUAGGCGGCACAGCAAGUCGGGAGUGAAAGCCCGGGGCUCAACCCCGGAACUGCUUUCGAAACUGCUGAGCUAGAGUGCAGAAGGGGCAACUGGAA